rnacentral:rRNA from 1 species
GACGUAGGGUGUGAGCGUUGUCCGGAUUUAUUGGGCGUAAAGAGCUCGUAGGCGGCUCGUCGCGUCGACCGUGAAAACCCGCGGCUUAACUGCGGGCUUGCGGUUGAUACGGGCGGGCUAGAGUUCGGUAGGGGAGACUGGAAUUCCUGGUGUAGCGGUGAAAUGCGCAGAUAUCAGGAGGAACACCGGUGGCGAAGGCGGGUCUCUGGGCCGAUACUGACGCUGAGGAGCGAAAGCGUGGGGAGCGAACAGG